UCGACCGUACUUUACAGGAUCAUGUAUAUAGUACGUUUCCCGUCUUUGUUUUCCAAACAAGACACAUUUACUAAGUUGGAAGAUGAUACAUAGCACCGGUUCAUAGCGGGAAGUGGUGACUACAUUUGUUUUUUAAAUGAAUGUUUUCACUUUGAAGAUCGUGCCUAUCAAACUUUUCCAUUGAUACGGCAAGGACUUGGUUGCUUUCUGACAACU
rfam:Piromyces finnis strain finn BCR36scaffold_26, whole genome shotgun sequence.